GGUACAUCUACAGUCCUCCAGUAUCUAACAGGUACAUCUACAGUCCCCCCAGUAUCUAACAGGUACAUCUACAGUCCCCCCAGUAUCUAACAGGUUAACAGGUACAUCUACAGUCCCCCAGUAUCUAACAGGUACAUCUACAGUCCUCCAGUAUCUAACAGGUACAUCUACAGUCCCCCCAGUAUCUAACAGGUACAUCUACAGUCCCCCAGUAUCUAACAGGUACAUCUACAGUCCUCCAGUAUCUAACAGGUACAUCUACAGUCCCCCCAGUAUCUAACAGGUACAUCUACAGUCCCCCCAGUAUCUAACAGGUACAUCUACAGUUCCCCAGUAUCUAACAGGUACAUCUACAGUUCCCCAGUAUCUAAAAGGUACAUCUACAGUCCCCCCAGUAUCUAACAGGUACAUCUACAGUCCCCCCAGUAUCUAACAGGUACAUCUACAGUCCCCCCCAGUAUCUAACAGGUACAUCUACAGUCCUCCAGUAUCUAACAGGUACAUCUACAGUCCUCCAGUAUCUAACAGGUACAUCUACAGUCCCCCCCAGUAU